UACGAAGGGGGCUAGCGUUGCUCGGAAUUACUGGGCGUAAAGCGCACGUAGGCGGCUUUCUAAGUCGGGGGUGAAAUCCUGGAGCUCAACUCCAGAACUGCCUUCGAUACUGGAGAGCUUGAGUCCGGGAGAGGUGAGUGGAACUGCGAGUGUAGAGGUGAAAUUCGUAGAUAUUCGCAAGAACACCAGUGGCGAAGGCGAUCAUCUGGGGUUGUUCUGACGCUGAGGAGCGAAAGCUAGGGGAGCAAACGGG
rnacentral:rRNA from 1 species